rnacentral:rRNA from 1 species
UACGUAGGGUGCGAGCGUUGUCCGGAAUUAUUGGGCGUAAAGAGCUCGUAGGCGGUCUGUCGCGUCGGUCGUGAAAACUUGGGGCUUAACCCUGAGCUUGCGGUCGAUACGGGCAUGACUGGAGUUCGGCAGGGGAGACUGGAAUUCCUGGUGUAGCGGUGAAAUGCGUAGAUAUCUGGAGGAACACCGGUGGCGAAGGCGGCAUCCUGGACCGAGAUUGACGCUGAGGCGCGAAAGCCAGGGGAGCAAACGGG